rnacentral:rRNA from 1 species
UCGGACCGCUCAGUAACACGUGGAUAACCUACCCUUGGGACUGGAAUAACCCCGGGAAACUGGGGAUAAUACCGGAUAGAUCAGGGAUGCUGGAAUGCACCUUGAUCCAAAGCUCCGGCGCCCAAGGAUGGGUCUGCGGCCUAUCAGGUAGUAGUGGGUGUAACGUACCUACUAGCCAACGACGGGUACGGGUUGUGAGAGCAAGAGCCCGGAGAUGGAUUCUGAGACACGAAUCCAGGCCCUACGGGGUGCAGCAGGCGCGAAACCUUUACAAUGUGCGAAAGCAUGAUAAGGGAACUCCGAGUGCCAGUAUCUAAUACUGGCUGUCCUUGUGCCUAAAACGCACAAGAUAGCAAGGGCCGGGUAAGACCGGUGCCAGCCGCCGCGGUAACACCGGCGGCCCGAGUGGUAGCCGCUAUUAUUGGGUCUAAAGGGUCCGUAGCCGGUUCGAUAAGUCCUCUGGAAAUCUGGUUGCUUAACAAUCAGACUGCCAAGGGAUACUGUCGAACUUAGAGACCGGGAGAGGUAAGAGGUACUUCAGGGGUAGGAGUGAAAUCUUGUAAUCCCUGGGGGACCAUCUGUGGCGAAGGCGUCUUACCAGAACGGGUCUGACGGUGAGGGACGAAAGCUGGGGGCGCAAACCGGAUUAGAUACCCGGGUAGUCCCAGCCGUAAACGAUGCUCGCUAUGUGUCAGGUACGGUGUGACCGUAUCUGGUGCCGUAGGGAAGCCGUGAAGCGAGCCACCUGGGAAGUACGGCCGCAAGGCUGAAACUUAAAGGAAUUGGCGGGGAAGCACUACAACGGGUGGAGCCUGCGGUUUAAUUGGAUUCAACGCCGGAAAUCUUACCGGAGGAGACAGCAGCAUGAAGGUCAGGCUGAGGAUCUUACCAUAUCCACUGAGAGGAAGUGCAUGGCCGUCGUCAGUUCAUACUGUGAAGCAUCCUGUUAAGUCAGGCUACGAGCGAGACCCGAGCCCACAC